GUAAUUUCAGCAAAUGUAUUCAAAUUCCCUUCAACUUUCUGUAUUUUCAGCUAUUUUUAAAAAUUCAGUUCAGGUUUCAGCUUUUUGCAUUCCAACGCAUUUUCAGCAGGAAGUGCAUUUUCUAGUGUAUCAUAUUGUGGUGUUUAAAGACCUACUUUCCGAGGAGACCCUGAAGGCAGCAUUCACUAGCAACAAGUUGAGGUUAGCUCCCGUCUUGUAUUUUUUCAAAUGCCCUAAGAAAUCAUUUAAAAGAGUCUGAAUUCACAACACUGGGAAAGCAAACAGGACAACAACAGGACCACUGUGGUGGAUGUAAUCGUCACUAUGGACAAAGAGAAGUCGGCACAAUUGACGAAAAUUCAAUAUCUGGAGGAGCAGUUGGAGAGAUGGCAGCUGCAUUACGACUGGCUGCAGAAGAAGAACGUGGAGCUGACCGCCCGCUACGGCGCCCUGGAGAAGGACAAGAUGGACACCUAUCGGCGCCUGAAAGGCAAAGAGGAUGCAAAGGAGACGGAGGAGAGGGAGCUGGAUGAGCGGAUGCAGGCGGCCGAGCAGCACCGACACGACCUGAAGCUUCAGCACGGCCGCGAGAUGGAGAAGCUUCAGCGUCGUCUGGAUGACCUCCAGUCGGAGGGCGAGGCGCUGGCGAUUAAAUCCCGCCAGCAGCAGGAGCUGGUGCAGGAGAUGGUGCAACACCGGUCCGACCGGGAGACCGAGAUGGAGCUGCUGGUCGGUCACAACAAAACGCUUGAAGCGGCCAUCGACUGCUGGAAGCGCGAGGCAGAGCCGGAGAGGAGAAGGAAGAUCGCGGACAGAGAGAAAGACAUCGAGAGAUUAGCUGAGGUGAAGAUCUCAAGGAUCCUCGAGUCGGAGAGAGCGGCUCACAACAAGCAGCUGGAGAAGCUCUCCUUCCUGCAGGAGGAAAAGGUGUCCCUGCUGGAGGAGAGAGACGUCCUGCGAGACCAGGAGAGGGAUCGCUGCACCGAGAGGGACCGCCAGAAGACGGCCGUGAGGAGGGAACAGGCGGAGCUCCGCUCCUGCAGGAAGGAGUUAGAGCAGAUGCAGAAUGAGUGCCAGCGGCUGAGGGUGGAGCUGAAGGAUUGUAGCUCCGCCAACAAGGGCCUGCUGAAGAGGAAAGACAUCCUCAGAAGGCUCCUGGCCGCGGCGCCGGAGAAGCGCUGCCUGCAGACGGCUCGGGUGGCCCGGCUGAGGGCGGAGCUCCAGAGGGAGAGCAGGGAGUGGGGGCGGCUGGAGGCCGCCAGGGAGGAAGGAGUCGUCCUCGUCGGCCACAUCCUGAUGGACUCAAAGUCUGACGCGUCUGAGAUAGAGCAGAAGAUGCUGAGGCUGCUGGACAUCCUGGAGAGCUCCGCGCCCCCCAAGGGGACCAGGCUCCACCACAAACCACUCCCCCGACGAGGACGGAAGAGGACGGAAGAGGAAGAGAAAUACGCCUUGAAAUCAGGAUCCAAGGUCACUGCCAAGUCCACUAAAUAGACAGGAUUCUGCUCGAGUGAGACUGGUGCCGGGAAAUGCUGAAGACACAAAAGUAAUUUAAAGCACAAUAAAAUAAUCUAAAUUCUAAAUAAUGGUUUAACAUGUUCAGUACGCUGUGAACCGACGCUGUGAACCGACGCUGAUAACGACUAAAAGGAUAUCAGAGAAACAGUACAAUAACAACAUAGGAAAAUGCUUUUUAAAGUUCUCCUAAUAGCCACUAGGUGCUUUAUCCAAGGAGGAGCAGCUCGUAUGUUGGUUCUCUGGGCCAUUUGGAAGAAGUCUCAGAUGCUUUACUGAGGUAAAAGUACUGAUACUGCACAGUGAAUGUCUCCCACAGUCCAAAUAUGGUCACUUCCUGUUCACUGGUUGCAAAAAACAAGAUAGCAAUGGGCUCAAUGCCGAACUCAAGGCUUCAAUAACGCAGUUCACAAACCAGUGGAUGACGUGCUCUUCUUAUAAAUAGUAUAUUGGGUAAACUGUUACAUGUGGACAUUAAGGAAUCUAUAGCCAACAGCUCAUUUGUAUUAGUUUAAAGCACAUGGAUACGUCUCUAUGAUCCCAAUCUGACAGCUGCAUGUUAACUUCAGGCUUUCAUCUGAAUCUCUUUGUCUUGCUGAGGGUUCAGAUGGAAGGAUUUAGUGCAGGGGUGACAAAACUUUUUUCUCUAACCCUCUAAUGUAUAUCCACACAUUAUCAUCAGGGCCGGGGCCGGGUCAGCUAUAUAACAUAGAAUUGUAUGACCCAGACCAAUUUGACCACCAGCAGGCCUCAUUGUGUAGUAGAGAUUAUUAGCCUGGCACAGCCAUCCCCACUACUACAGGUGAAACUCGAAAAAUUUGAAUAUCGUGCAAAAGUUCAUUUAUUUCAUUAAUUCGACUUAAAAGGUGACACUAAUAUAUUACAUAGUGAGAUAUUUCAAGUUUUUUUUAAUAUAAUUUUGAUGAUUGUGGCUUGAAAAGCCCAAAUUCAAAAUCUUGGAAAAUUUGAAUAUUGUGAAAAGGUUCAGUAUUGUAGGGUCAAAGUGUCACACUCCAAUCAGCUAAUUAAUCCAAAACACCUGCAACGGGUUCCUGAGCCUUUAAAUGGUCUCUCAGUCAUGGGGAAGACUGCUGACCUGACAGUUGUGCAGAAAACCAUCAUUGACACCCUCCACAAGGAGGAAAAGCCUCAAAAGGUAAUUGCAAAAGAAGUUGGAUGUUCUCAAAGUGCUGUAUCGAAGCACAUUAAUAGAAAGUUAAGUGGAAGGGAAAAGUGUGGAAGUAAAAGGUGCACAAGCAGCAGGGAUGACCGUAGCCUGGAGAGGAUUGUCAGGAAAAGGCCAUUCAAAUGUGUGGGGGAGCUUCACAAGGAGUGGACUGAGGCUGGAGUUACUGCACCAAGAGCCACCAUACACAGACGGGUCCUGGACAUGGGCUUCAAAUGUCGUAUUCCUCUUGUCAAGCCGCUCCUGAACAACAAACAACGUCAGAAGGGUCUUACCUGGGCUAAAGAAAAAAAGAACUGUUGCUCAGUGGUCCAAAGUCCUCUUUUCUGAUGAGAGCAAAUUUUGCAUCUCACCAGAGUCUGGAGGAAGAAUGGAGAGGCACACAAUCCAAGAUGCUGGAAGUCCAGUGUGAAGUUUCUACAGUCUGUGUUGGUUUGGAGAGCCAUGUGAUCGGCUGUUGUUGGUCCACUGUGCUUUAUUAAGUCCAGAGUCAACGCAGCAGUCUACCAGGACAUUUUAGAGCACUUCAUGCUUCCUUCAGCAGACAAGCUCUAUGGAGAUGCUGACUUCAUUUUCCAGCAGGUCUUGGCACCUGCCCACACUGCCAAAAGUACCAAAACCUGGUUCAAUGACCAUGGUAUUACUGUGCUUGAUUGGCCAGCAAACUCACCUGACCUGAACCCCAUAGAGAAUCUAUGGGGCAUUGCCAAGAGAAAGAUGAGAGACAUGAGACCAAACAAUGCAGAAGAGCUGAAGGCCGCUAUGAUGGCAUCCAUGCCACGCCGCAUUGAGGCAGUAAUUAAUGCAAAAGGGGCCCAAACCAAGUACUGAGUACAUAUGCAUUCUAAAAUUAUUCUAAUUUUUCGAGUUUCACCUGUAUAUCCACACUUGAUUCCUGGCACAUAUUUGUUUGUCUUUACUUGUGGUUUGCAAAAGUAGUAGUCGAGUCUUCACACUUUGUUUUAAUUUGAAAUAUCACAGAUAUUCUAUUUAUUAUAUUAUUAUAGGUGAGUGAAAAUUAUAAAUUAUAGGUAGGCCUGUUGGUAUUAAUAAUAAUAAUUGUGGGCACAAUUAAUUAAAAAAAACAUUGAAAUUAUAAUAACAUGAAUAAUGGAACAACUAGCCAGCUCUUAUACCUGUCCAGGUGAGCAUGUUCAGUAAACAUUCUUUAGGUCAUUAUUCUCAAUACAGAAUAAUGGGAAUCAAAAUCAGUAGUAUAUGUAGGUGAGCUGGAUUGGCACUUGUUGAUGAAUUGUCUUUGGGAUGGAGUCAGCAACACCAAUCUCCUCUCCUCACUUCAGGGGGCCUUCUGGAGCCCUGGCAUGGAGGGAUGACAGAUUGAACACAAGAAGCACCAUAUUCAGGGUUCAUACACAUUUUAACCAAUACUUUUCCAUGACUAUUUUGAUUAAUAUGUGCGAGGCAAAGAGAGCAAGACAGCGCUUAGUUUGGAGACGGUGAAGGCUCCGAAGAGAGAGUGACCGUCUCUCUCUCUCUCUCUGCUCGUUCUUUCAGUUAAACUUGGAGCUCUGCUACAGGAGCAGAUCACUUUAACGUUACAUGCCGGUCACAUCGUCUCUAAACAGUCCGCUCACAGUGAAGUCCUGCGCCAAAGUUUUUUUUUUUUUUAAAGAAUUCACCAACACCGCGAAACAUUUCGGCACAGAGUGAAAAAAAGUCUGUGAGUGAAUCGGAAGUGAACUGAACGUUAUGCCAUGACGACCUUUGGGCAGCGAUUCCCAAAGUGUGGGCCGCGGAGGUACUGCAGGUGGGCCGCGAGAGGUAAUUUACAAUACAUGAAUAAAAAGUUUUUAAUUUUCAAUUUUGAAAAGUUUGAAAUUAAUAUAAAAAUAUGUAUGAUGCGGCACAUUAGUUAUGUGAAACAUUAAUUGAUGAAGCACAAACAAUUUAAACGAACAGAUUGAUUAAUCGGUUGAUCCAUACUGGUUGCACACGGCGCUCAAGGCGCUCUGCCAAAGCUCUGUCUACGACGGCGAGAUGCUGAGCGGCGCUCAAGCGCGUGAGAUACGGAGCUUGUUUUAGACACGUUACUCGAUUCAGUCUGCCUGUCUGUGACGUCAUCAGUACGCAGUGGCAGCCGUGCGAAACUCUGAACAACAACAAAACACAGCGUGGAGGAGACGACUGCGAGCGAGACAUUUACAAACUAACUUAUCGAUCCAGCGCGUGGAAACAUUUUGGCUUUUGCAAACACGGAGGUGUUCUAAAUAAGUUGGUCGCUGUUUGUAGAAUAUGUAGAAGCCAAAUAAAAAACACGGAAACACAACAAAUCUUUCUAGCCAUCUAUUAAGGCGCCGUGGGAUUAAACAACGGCGACAGUCCAGGACCUCUAGCAGCGUUGCCGCUGCAGCAGCAGCAGGUAACUCCAGCUCUGCAGACACCUCGGGCCUCAUCACAGUAACAAUUGCCAAGUUUAUCUGUAAAGACCUGCGACGGUGAAAAUCUGGGGUUCUGUAAAUUGAUCCGAACAUUGUGUAAUUAUUGUGUAAUGUUUACAUUGAAAAUGGUUGCACAAUAAAAGGUUUAUACAUUUGCCAUUAAUUGCUGUUUGCUUGUUUAUAAUAUGCAUAAUUAAUUUAAAUCUGAUUUCCUUACAAGAAACAAUAGGGAUCUCGGAAACUUUGCCUGCACUGUCCAGUAAAGUUACUGAAUCGAUUUCAAGUCACUGAAUCGAAUCGUUCUAAAUUAACCCAGAUCGUCCAUGAAUCGAAUCGGCAACCAUAAAUCGCGAUUCGCAUCAAAUCGUUGUUAAAAUGAAUCGUUACACCCCUAUCUGUAGAUAUUUUCCUUCCGUCACCUAUCACCAAAACAUCAAUCAUACUCCUAUACCCUUUUUUAUUAAUCCAAUUAAACUAUACAUAUGUGUACGCUCUUUUUUUACGCUCUUGUUUUUUAUUGUCACUUUAAAUCUUUUUUUUAAUGAAUGCCUGUUCCAAGAAAUAAUAAUAAUAAUUUGAAUACAACAGCAACUACCAAGUAGG
ensembl:lncRNA